rnacentral:rRNA from 1 species
GACGAACGCUGGAGGCGUGCUUAACACAUGCAAGUCGAACGAUGAAAUGGAGCUUGCUCCAUGGAUUAGUGGCGAACGGGUGAGUAACACGUGAAUAACCUGCCCUUAAUUUUGGAAUAACCCAGGGAAACCUGGGCUAAUACCGGAUAAGUAAACCUGUGGCAUCACAGGGUUUUGGAAAGUUUUUCGAGUAAGGAUGGAUUCGCGGCCUAUUAGCUUGUUGGCAAGGUAAUGUCGAACGAAGGCGAAGACGGGUAGCCUGCCUGAGAGGGGGAACGGCCACACUGGGACUGAGACACGGCCCAGACUCCUACGGGAGGCAGCAGUGGGGAAUAUUGCGCAAUGGACGAAAGGCUGACGCAGCGACGCCUCGUGGGGGACGAAGGUCUUCGGAUUGUAAACCUCUUUCAGCAGGGACGAAGCGAAAGUGACGGUACCUGCAGAAGAAGCACCGGCUAACUAUGUGCCAGCCGCCGCGGUAA